rnacentral:rRNA from 1 species
CACGUAGGGGGCGAGCGUUGUCCGGAUUUAUUGGGCGUAAAGGGCUCGUAGGCGGCUCAGUAAGUCGGGUGUGAAACCUCCAGGCUCAACCUGGAGACGCCACUCGAUACUGCUGUGGCUAGAGUCCGGUAGGGGAGCAUGGAAUUCCUGGUGUAGCGGUGAAAUGCGCAGAUAUCAGGAGGAACACCAGUGGCGAAGGCGGGUCUCUGGGCAGUAACUGACGCUGAGGAGCGAAAGCGUGGGGAGCGAACAGG